rnacentral:misc_RNA from 1 species
AACAUCGCGCACCUGCGGGAACCUGCGGAAGGAUCAUUACCGAGUUUACAAACUCCCAAACCCUUUGUGAACCUUACCUAUCGUUGCUUCGGCGGGAUCGCCCCGGGCCGGCCCUUCACGGGGCCUCCGGAACCAGGCGCCCGCCGGAGAACCCAAACUCUUUGUUUUUAUGGUUUUCUCCUCUGAGUGGAUUAUAAACAAAUAAAUCAAAACUUUCAGCAACGGAUCUCAGAUCGGAAG